rnacentral:lncRNA from 1 species
AUGGUUUAAGAAGGAGAUAUUGACAUUGGAAGUUCAAUAUUCAGAUUGGAAUAGAAGGUCGGCCAAUAUUCAACUAAAAUUUAAGAUUGAUCUUUUGAUUAGUAAGUUCAAUCUUCUUUGAAUUUUUUAUACUUGUUGUUAACUUAGUUGUUGAGAGGUGUGUAAAUCUUAAGUAAGAUCAAUGGUAUAAUUGAUAGAUAUUGAGGUUCUAAACUGCCUUGAGAUUAGGUUAAUUUAACUAGGAUUUGAUUAGGAUUUACGGUUUGUUUAAGAUUUAGAAUUAUUUAGGAUUAAUUACGAUUUGAUUUAGAAUUUAAUUAUAAACUAUUAGGAUUUUAAUU